rnacentral:lncRNA from 1 species
GCAUUAUGGGGUGGGUCCUCUCUACCUGAGCCGUAACUUUACGGCAGAUCCCGGAGUGGAGGAGGAGGAGGAGCUGAACUAACGGUAAUAAACUGUCGGCGUGGAACCAGUGAAAGGGACCGAAGGGUUCUUUAACGGUUUAACGCUGUUUCCCCGCAGGAUGGAGGCGGAGACAAGUCGCCGCCGGUACCCCAGUUCAUCAGAAUCGAUGUCCAACCUGGAGGACGGACGUCAGGAUGAGGUCAGAACCAACGACACACAGAGACAUGGACCACAUGUACACAUAUAUACAGGUUAACGUGAGUGUGUGUUUGUGUGAGUGUGUACAAUCAGACAUAUUUAGUGACAGAUGUGUGUGAGAUUUGGUUGAAUUGAUUGAAUUGAAGGACUGUUGCUGGUGGACGUUUGAGCAAUGUGCAAGUUUAUUCUGUUAAAUUGAAUUUCAUAUCAGCAAACAAACAAACGCUGAUUCUGAUGUUGCUGAAAGACUCGAACAGAGGAGGACCUAAGAGGGAGGAUGGAGGAGGACGGAGAAGAAGGAUAGAAGAGGGUGGAGGAGGACAGAAGAGGAUGGAGAAGAAGGACAGAAGAGU